rnacentral:rRNA from 2 species
GGCGACGAUGCCGCACGUGAUCGAGAAGUCGCGCGGGCCGAAACGCAAGGUCGUCGUGGUCGGCGCGGGCCCGGCGGGCCUGGAGGCCGCGCGCGUCGCCCGCUCGCGCGGGCACGACGUCGUGCUGUUCGAGAAGAACGCCGAAGUCGGCGGGCAGAUCAUGCUCGCGGCGAAGGCGCCGCAGCGCGAGCAGAUGGCGGGCAUCGUGCGCUGGUUCGACAUGGAGACGAAGCGGCUCGGCGUCGACCGCCGGCUCGGCGUCGAGGCCGACGAGAAGGCAAUCAUGGCCGAGAAGCCGGACAUCAUCGUGCUCGCCACGGGCGGGCGCAGCUUCACCGAUCAGGUGUCGGGCUGGGGCGUCGCCGAGGGGCACGCGGUCGGCUCGUGGGACAUCCUGUCGGGCCGCGUCGAGCCGGGAAAGAACGUGCUCGUCUAUGACGGCGUCAGCACGCAUGCGGGCGCGGGCGUCGCGGAUUUCAUCGCGAGCCGCGGCUCGAACGUGGAGAUCGUCACGCCGGACGUGAAGGUGGCCGACGACUGCGGCGGCACGACGUUCCCGAUUUUCUAUCGGCGGCUCUACGCGCAGGGCGUGAUCCACACGCCGAACUACUGGCUCGACCGCGUCUACGAGGAAGACGGCAAAAAGAUCGCGGUGCUGCGCAACGAAUACACGGAAGAGCAGGAGGAGCGCGCGGUCGAUCAGGUCGUGAUCGAGAACGGCAUCACGCCGAAUGAUGCGCUGUACUGGAAGCUCAAGCCCGAAUCGGUCAAUCGCGGCCAGAUCGACGUGCACAAACUAUUCGCCGCCGAGCCGCAGCCGUGCCUUGCCGAGACGCUCGGCAACGGCCGCUUCCUGCUGUUUCGCGUCGGCGAUUGCAUCUCGAUGCACAACAUCCACGGCGCGAUCUAUGACGCGCUGCGCCUCGUGAAGGAUUUCUGACGAUGAAUCCGGCCAUCCUGAUUACCGCGCUGCUGUGGCUGUCGGUCGCGGGCCUCGCGUUCGCGGUCGCGAAACGCUCGGCGUACUGGCGGCUCGGCCGCGCGACCACACCCGGCGCGUUCGGGCUCGCGAACCUGCUGGCGAUUCCGAAGCGUUAUUUCGUCGAUCUGCACCACGUCGUCGCGCGUGACCCGUACAUCGCGAAGACGCACGUCGCGACGGCGGGCGGCGCGCUCGCCGCGCUCGCGCUCGUGUUCGUCAACUACGGGCUCGCGAUCUAUUCGCCGUGGCUCGACAGGCUGAUCCUGCUCGCGGCGCUCGCGAUGCUCGUCGGCGUGGUGUUCGUCUGGCGCCGCCGCCAUGCGAAGGCGGUGCCCGCGCGGUUGUCGCGCGGCCCAUGGAAUACGCUGCCGUGGCUGCUCGGCGCGUUCGCGCUCGGCCUCGUGCUGUUCAUGCUGGUGCCGGCGGCGGCGAUGUCGGGCGCGUUCGCGCUGCUCUGCGCGGCGUUGAUCGGCGCCGGCGCGUUCGCGAUGACGGUGGGAGCGGCCAAGGGCGGGCCGAUGAAGCACGCGAUCGCGGGCUUGCUGCAUCUCGCGUUCCAUCCUCGUCAGGAGCGCUUCGCGGCGACGCGCGACGCGUACACCGGCGACGGCGGCGCGACACCGCCGACCGCGCUGAAGCCGUCCGAUGUCGAGCGCGACGAGUACGGCGUCGCGAAGCCGGCCGAAUUCCGCUGGAACCAGUUGCUGAGCUUCGAUGCAUGCGUGCAGUGCGGCAAAUGCGAGGCGGCGUGCCCCGCGUUCGCGUCGGGCCAGCCGCUCAAUCCGAAGAAGCUGAUCCAGGAUCUCGUCGUCGGAAUGGCGGGCGGCACCGAUGCCGCGUAUGCGGGCAGCCCGACGCCCGGCAUCCCGGUCGGCGCGCACGGCGGCGAUCCGCAGCGGCCGAUCGUGUCGUCGCUGAUCGAGGCCGACACGCUGUGGUCGUGCACGACGUGCCGGGCGUGCGUGCAGGAGUGCCCGAUGCUGAUCGAGCACGUGGAUGCGAUCGUCGACAUGCGCCGCAACCAGGCGCUCGUGCACGGCGCGGUGCCGGGCAAGGGCGCGCAGGUGCUCGCGAACCUGCGCGAGACAGGCACGAUGGGCGGCUACGACACGGCCGCGCGCUAUGACUGGUCGGUCGAUCUGGGCGCGCCCGUCGCGCAGCCGGGGCGCCCCGUCGACGUGCUGAUCGUCGCGGGCGAGGGCGCGUUCGACAUGCGCUACCAGCGCACGCUGCGCGCACUCGUGAAGGUGCUCAAUCAUGCGGGCGUCGAUUACGCGGUGCUCGGCCGCGCGGAAACCGACACGGGCGACGUCGCGCGCCGGCUCGGCGACGAGGCGACGUUCCAGCAGAUGGCCAGGCGCCUGAUCGACACGCUCGGCGCGCUGUCGUUCAAGCAGAUCGUGACGGCCGAUCCACACGUGAUGCACAGCCUGCGCAACGAAUAUCGCGCGCUCGGCGGCCGUUACGCGGUCAAGCAUCACACGACGUUCGUCGCCGAGCUCGCGGCGGCAGGCAAGAUCAAGCCGCAGGCGGCGGACGCGCUGCGCGAGAAGCGCAUGACAUAUCACGAUCCGUGCUAUCUGGGCCGCUACAACGGCGAGACCGAAGCGCCGCGCAAGCUGCUGAAGACGAUCGGCAUUCAGAUCGUCGAGAUGGAGCGGCACGGCAUGCGCGGCCGCUGCUGCGGCGGUGGCGGCGGCGCGCCGCUCACCGACAUUCCGGGCAGGCAGCGGAUUCCCGACAUCCGGAUCGCCGACGCGCGCGCGGUGGGCGCGGACGUCGUCGCGGUCGGCUGCCCGAACUGCACCGCGAUGCUCGAAGGCGUCGUCGGCCCGCGGCCCGACGUGCUCGACGUCGCCGAACUCGUCGCCGCUUCGCUGGAGUGAACCGAUGACCACGCUCAAACGAAUCGAUCCGCGCCGGCCGUUCGUCGUGACCGCAGCGGGAUUGAAACGCAUCACGCUCGGCGAGACGGGCGGCGCGCCCGGCGACGCCGCGUCGUGGCGGCCGCAUGCGCACGGCGCGGCGGCCGCCAGGCCGGUGCGCGUCGUGCGCGACGCGCGGCGCGUGUUCCUCGUGG